rnacentral:lncRNA from 1 species
GAGACUACACUAGUUAGAGCACCCCUUAAAAUUCCAAAUGAACCACAGGUGUGUUUAUGCUGGGAGGAAUAAUCUACCAGGGAGAGAAAAAAACAAUCCUAGAAAAGUCCCAAGUUGGCUAAUUUGCCUCACCUGCACCUCUGGCCCUGUCACAACUGCUUUCUGCUGGACCAGACCCUGCCCGUGUGCACACUGCCACUAGCGUUCUAAGAUAACCUUCUCCCCAAGGGUCCUUGCAAAAGCUUUGGCCCUUAUGUCAACCUCCAAGAAGUCACGGUAGUUUUCCCAACCCCUUUGCAAAACUGUUUGACACACAUGGUCUUGAAACAAAAUGGCAGGUCAGGUUUAGAGAAAUUCUGGAGUGUUGAUCUUCCCUGUGAGAAUUAGAAUUGUCUGCCCUUUGGGGCAACAAGUGCUUUCACCCUUGAGAGGGGACUGUCCUUUGUAGUAGCUUUCCUUCAUCACAAUAGUCCCACCUGCCUGACAGCACCUCUGAUCACAGCUCCCAGGUCCUGACAGCUGCUCGGAGCUACCACGGCCACCACCAUGCCCAGGCAAACCAAGGUGCUGGCUUGUGUACCCAGAACAUGAUUCUGCUCAGCUCUGCAAAGACAUUACCUUCACCAGCACUCACAGGCCAAUUACGGUCCAUCUUGAUUUAAUAAGACAUUAAUGCCAAACAAUAACAAAGGAUUAACUUAAGCAAAUAGAGAAGCCCACAGGCUCCAAUGUGCCAUGUGUCAGAUGGAUUUGCCUCCUCUGGGGCCAGGGCUGGGUCCCAGAGGCCACAGGGUAGGUUAAGGGAGUUGUAUCUUUUAAGGAUGACUUCUGUGGGGAGGUGUGCCAGGGAGGGAAGGAGAAGGGAUUGUUUGCAGGGCUGGAGCAGCAACUGCAGCUUUUAUGCACCCAGGGAUUUGUCUGCUAGAGUAAGUCUGAAGUUGGCCAUGAGGCGGUUUUAGCCAGGGGCAUGUGGGGCAGGGCCAGAGGCCUGACCUCUGUGGGGAGAAAUGUCUCCUUCUGGUCUUUGGGCAGAAAGAUACACCAGAGAAUGUCAAGCAAAUGAAUAUGAUCUUAUGGCCGCUUUGUAAACUCUUGACAGGGAGUAAAAGGUGCUAACCUCUCCUUGCAUCUUCUACACUACUUAGAGUAUUCAGCUCUUAGAAGCUACUCAGUGAAACAGUAUUUGUUAAACAAAUGAACGAAUCUGUUUCCUCCCUACUAGAAAUUCCCCAUUUGGAAAGGGAAGCAAAUUUUGGGUGAGUCACAAACAUUCCGAUUGUGACCCUCUAUUUCCAUAUUGUCUCUAGUUCUAGGAAUUUGCUGAGAAACAAGCACAGCAAAGCUUUGCUUUAUAAAGAGACAAUGCUCCCGAAAAGUUAAGUGUUAAAUCAGAUUUUUGGAAAACAAUAAGUAGUUUAAACGCACAGUGGGAAUUGGCUAUUUUAGGAAUGCUGUGAAUUUGUAUAGAAAGUAAUGUUAAAUUGUCUUAAGGUGAAAUCAAGCUAAGCCACAGAAACCAGGUACACACAUGGAUGCACUCUCACUACACCCUCCCACAUCUUUCUUUAACUGUUCCUAAGGGACCAAUCUUAAAUAAAAAUUGCAUUACAUUAUUACAAAAUUGCAUUACAUUACAAAACUCAGUGGGACUGAGUUUUUUGUAAACUCUUUAAAGUACAAACAAGUGAUAGGAAUUCACCUUAUCUUCCGGGAUUAUGGCCACUGAUUCCCAGUAGGGGAAGAGGGGAAAAGAGGCUGGUACAUCACCGAUCACCAGUUGGCUGAUUAGCUUCUGGGAAGCCAGUGAGUCACACUGUGGCCCCUGUAGGCAAGUCAUAUGUACUCCUCAUCAAUGACCAUGAAUCUGCUCUCAAAAGGAGAGGGUGGGACCCUUGCAGGCAUCUGGACAGACGCAGUCUGGAUUGUGGGAAUGGAAUAGGAAAUGAACAGGCANNNNNNNNNNNNNNNNNNNNNNNNNNNNNNNNNNNNNNNNNNNNNNNNNNNNNNCUUAGCUGCAGAAAGUAGAAGCACUAAGGGUUCUUUCAGUGGGGUACAGUGUAUAGAGCUGGGAUGGGGUUCUCUUCCUCUAGAGGUGAGGGAAGUGCUGGGGGGCUCGGUGAGUGUGAUAAACUAAAUUAUUCUUCCCUGAAGGAGGAUUUUAAAGUAAUGCUGGGCCAUCCCACAUGCUUUAGACAAAGAAAUGAGCAGAAGUGACCUGGAUCAUUUCCAGACAAGGGCUGUAAGAGUCAGCAUCCGUGGUCACCAUAGAGUUCCCAAUAGUGACUGUGGUAUCAGCCUGGAUCCCAGAGGGCCCAUGACACAGAGAAGAGCCCCAGUCAACCUGUGCUAAAUUCACAGAAUGAGCAAGAAAUAAACAUCUGAUGUCUUAAACCACUGAGGUGUAAUAAACCACUGUUUAUUACCACAGCGUAACCUUGCCUAUACAGAUAGGUGUGUAUGUAGAUACAGACGGGGUGAACAUGAACCCUGUGAGAAGAUUCCAUAGAACCAAGGGACACGAGUANNNNNNNNNNNNNNNNNGGGAGGUGGGGAUGGAAGAUGAGUGUGCAUAUCCCAAGUUACUCCUGAGCCCCGAGGAACCAGGCCUCAGGGAUAUGAGGGCAGGCUUGUCUCGUCUCUGAGAGAUUAAGAUAACGUUCAAUGGAACCUUGUUAAUAGUUCUCCCCAAGUGAACAGAAUUUUCCUUUCUGCACUCUGACCUUUCCCAGCCGUCCAUCCCUAUCCGUGGAUUAAGAAUGUACUAAUACCCAGUCCCGUGGUUCUGUCUCUCAAAACAAGCUGUGUUCCAGAUGCUGAUCACGUGAAGCCCUGCUGGGAAGAGGAGCAUAAAAAGAAAUAUGUAGGAGCAAGACAUUGCAGAACCGAAUGAUAAACUCUGCAGUCCUUGUUUUGGUUUUGAGUGUGGCAAAAUAUACAUUAUGAAAAAUGUACUAUCUUUACCAUUUUUAAGCAUCUGGUUUGGUGGCAUGAAGUUCAUUCAGGUUUUUGUGUGACCAUCAGCAUCAUCAUGAUCAUACCAUCAUUUCUGGACCUCUUUUCAUUUUGCAUAACGGAACCUCUGAACCCAUUAAACUCCCCAUCUCCCUCCUUCUACCCCUGGCAACCACCAUUCUACUUUCUCUCUGUGGUUUUGACUACUCUAGGUAUCCGCCAUCUCUUUGCCUCAGGUUGAAGAACAGUUGUCUUCAUAUCUCUUUAACCACAAAUUCCAAUCAGUUAAAUAGGUUGGCAUACACACCACUAAUGUGUCUAUCAUCAUUCAUUUAUACUAAUACAUUUGUAUCACUCUACUAAUGCUUAUUUAACUUAUAUGCAGAGUACAUCAUGAGGAAUGCUGGACUGG